ensembl:lncRNA novel transcript
AAGGGAUGAAGUGGCAGGAGAAAUGAAGUCUUCCUAACUCUGGCCUCCUGCUGCUACACAAGCCAGGCCAAUGAUGUGGCAAGUCCAAGGGGCACAUGGCUUUUCAGUGUCAUUGUUUGAGGAGGCCAUGAGUGGUUUAGCUGGUGGCCUCUGCUUCUUUUUCUUUUGAGUGCUUCUGAAUACAUGACUGUGCUCUGAAUACAGAGCUACCACUGCGGGGUAAACCAAGCCACAGCUGUCCUCUUCCAAGGUUAGGGUCGCUGCUCAGCAGGAGCUGAUGUGCUACAAGGAAUGAUGAUCUUCUACUGGACAACAGAACCAGGCCUCCUGACUGCCCCUCCCUGCGCUCCGGGCCUGCAGAAGGCGCCUGAUGUGACUUCGCAUUAUUUUGAAGCUGGAAAGGCAGACAUUUUAAGCCCUAAAGAGGUUUUGCCUUCUGAGCACCAGCACAAAAGGGAACUUUCAGUAAUUCCUUUUGCCAGCAAGACAUGGAUAUUUUGCAGAAGUGUUGGCUCGACUAUAGGUGUCACAGAUGAGGCUCUGAGUAUGCCAAGAUUUGAGCCAGCCUGCCUGGGAGCCCCUCACAGCUAUUGAGGAGGAAGGCUCUGACCAGUACAGUCCUUGCAAAGAGGGAGUGAGCAUGCUGGCUCUCUGCGGGCCAGGUUUGGCUCUCAACAUGUCCUGUUUCGCUUAAACAA